UACGAAGGGGGCUAGCGUUGCUCGGAAUCACUGGGCUUACAGGGUGCGUAGGCGGCCUGUUAAGUAGGGUGUGAAAGCCCCCGGCUCAACCGGGGAAUGGCGCCCUAAACUGGCGGGCUGGAGUGAGAUAGGGGUGUGUGGAACUUCCGGUGGAGCGGUGAAAUGUGUUGAUAUCGGAAGGAACGCCGGUGGCGAAAGCGACACACUGGAUCUUGUCUGACGCUGAGGCACGAAAGCCAGGGGAGCGAACGGG
rnacentral:rRNA from 1 species